rnacentral:rRNA from 1 species
AGCAGCCGCGGUAAUUCCAGCUCCAAUAGCGUAUAUUAAAGUUGUUGCAGUUAAAAAGCUCGUAGUUGAACUUCGGGGUCUACCCAUUGGUCAGGCUUAAUUGUCUGCACUGGUGAGAUGGAUCUCUACCUUCCGAGGAACUUUCAUGCCAUUUAUUUGGUGUGAUGGGAAAUCAGGACUGUUACUUUGAAAAAAUUAGAGUGUUUAAAGCAGACUAUCGUCUGAAUACAUUAGCAUGGAAUAAUGAAAUAGGACGGACUGAUUCUAUUUCGUUGGUUUCUAGGAUCACCGUAAUGAUUAAUAGGGAUAGUUGGGGGCAUUAGUAUUCAAUUGUCAGAGGUGAAAUUCUUGGAUUUAUUGAAGACUAACUACUGCGAAAGCAUUUGCCAAGGAUGUUUCAUUAAUCAAGAACGAAAGUUAGGGGAUACGAAGACGAUCAGAUACCGUCGUAGUCUUAACCAUAAACUAUGCCGACUAGGGAUCGGACGAAGUUAAUUUUAUAAUGACGCGUUCGGCCG